ensembl:lncRNA novel transcript
AGAAAUUGAAAGAGGAGGAGAGGAGGAGAGACCCACAGUUGAUCUCUGAGAAGUGAGUAGCUGGAGGCACCAGGAUACCAGCCAAGCCUAAAGGAUAAAGCAAAUCCCUGGACAUGGCUUUUGAUUCCAAGCUAAGAAGUGCAAGAAGCUCUUCCAAAUACAACUGCAACUGCCAAGAGAUUGAUGGACCAGAGAAUGGCCUCUUCAUUCCAGGCACUUCUAAAGUCCAAGUGGUCAAAUACCAGCCUCUUUUUACCAAUGUUCCCACCUGUUUCAUUCAGCCAAAUUUCAUUAGAUGAAGGAAGGUGGUGCAUUCUUGAGAUUGAGAAUACAGAUGAGAAGCAGGUUUGGAAUAAAGAUGAUAUUUCCUGUCUGAGAUACGAUGAGCUUAAGGUUUGAAUGGUGAAGAAAUGAUGGACGCUGUUUGUCUCAAACAAGGACUCUAAUGAUACAACAGAACAAGUCACAAGAAAGCUUGCCUGGAAAACCAUACACUGGCCUCUUCGUGGUGAAGUCCUUCACAAUCCUUACAAACAUAGAAAAUAUUCAGCAAUUCGUUUGUUUGUUUUCCAGUCCACUCUUACUUGAGAAAAAUGCAAAACAUCAAAGACACAGAAAAACCACCAGUCUAUACAGCUUGCCCAUACUAAAUUGUUAUUCAUUUCAGAAGAGUGUACAGUUUCUUUCUGUAAGACUCUAUUAAACCAGUUACUCUACAAUAGCAAACAUUUUAGGCAAACCUAACCAUUGCUUCCCAUAAAGAUAUUUAUAUCUUUAAGUGGUAUCUGAUUCAUCCCUAAGAAAUAUGUUAUCAAGAUGUUUGUUUGUUUGUUUGUUUGUUCAUUUGUUUUUGAGAUGGAGUUUCACUCUUGUUGCCCAGGCUGGAGUGCAGUGGCAUGAUCUCGGUUCACUGCAACCUCUGCCUCCCGGUUCAAGCGAUUCUCCUGCCUCAGCCUCCCGAGUAGCUGGGAUUACUGGCACCCACCACCACUCCCAGCUAAUUUUUUGUAUUUUUAAUAGAGACGGGGUUUCACCAUGUUGGCCAGGCUGGUCUCAAACUCCUGACCUCAGGUGAUCCACUUGCCUCGACCUCCCAAAGUGCUGGGAUAACAGGCAUGAGCCAUUGCACCCGGCCGAAGAUUUUUGUUUUGACUGUUUUUUUCUGAACUACAGGGAAACGAAGGCUUUUAUGUUAUUGUCCCCCUUUUCUCACUAACUGGACUUCCUGUGACACGUGAAGACGCUAUGCAUGUUUAAUAAAUACACUUUGAAUUUAA